rnacentral:rRNA from 1 species
GACAGAGGGUGCAAACGUUGCUCGGAAUUACUGGGCGUAAAGCGCGUGUAGGCGGUUCCGCAAGUCAGGUGUGAAAGCCCAGGGCUCAACCCUGGAAGUGCACUUGAUACUACGGAGCUUGAGUACUGAAGAGGAGAGCGGAAUUCCCGGUGUAGAGGUGAAAUUCGUAGAUAUCAGGAGGAACACCGAUGGCGAAGGCAGGUCUCUGGGCCACUACUGACGCUGAGAAGCGAAAGCAUGGGGAGCGAACAGG